rnacentral:misc_RNA from 1 species
UCUCCGUAGGUGAACCUGCGGAGGGAUCAUUACUGAGUGAGGGCUUCGGUCCGACCUCCAACCCUUUGUGAAUCAAACUUGUUGCUUCGGGGGCGACCCUGCCGCUUCGGCGGUGCGGCGCCCCCGGAGGCCAUUAAACACUGCAUCAUUGCGUCGGAGUUAAAGUAAAUUAAACAACACUUUCAACCACGGAUCUCUUGGUUCCAGCCUCGAUGAAGAACGCAGC